GUAGAUAAUGAGGUGUAGCAUAUGAAGUUUCUCUUAACGUUCCUAUUCUAUUGUCAAACCAGAACGAGAGACGGUUAGUCUUUUAGAGUAGACGAGAGACGUGAUAAACAGUUUACGUGCAUACGUGAUAAACAGUCAACGUUAAUAGUAGACGAGAGCCGUGAUAAACAGGUUACGUGCAUACUAGAGCAGUGCGGUUAAGCGAAAAAUUCGGUUCUUCCAGUACUUUUUAUAGCACCGAAAAAGUGUACGCAAAAAACCUGG
rnacentral:lncRNA from 1 species